CUCCCCCGCACAGAUGCUUUCCGUUUAUAGUGGCCUUGUCCGCCCUCGUAUGGAGUAAACAUCUCAUGUGUGGGGGGCUCUACUCACAUAGCUAUCCUGGACAGAGUGGAGUCUAAAGUUCUUCAUCUUAUUAGCUCUCCUCCUCUUACUGAUAGUCUGCUACCUCUUAAAUUCCACCGCCACGUUGCCUCUCUAUCUUCUAUCGAUAUAUUCAUGCUGACUGCUCUUUUGAACUUGCUAACUGCAUGCUUCCCCCCCUCCCGUGGUCCCGCUGCACUCGACUGUCCACUCUAGCCCAUCCCUAUACUGUCCAAACCCCUUAUGCAAGAGUUAACCAGCAUCUUCACUUUUUCAUCCCUUACACUGGUAAACUAUGGAACUGCCUUCCUUCGUCUAUAUUUCCUCCUGCCUAUGACUUGACCUCUUUCAAGUUGAGUGUAUCAAGACACCUCUCCAUCCGAAAUUGACCUCUCUUUUGGCUACUCUUAUCUAUUUUCUGUUGUGGGAGCGGCGAGUAGCGGGCUUUUUUUAUAUCUUAAGUUUUUGUUGCCCUUGAGCCGGGUCUUUUGUAAAAAAAAAAGGGAAGGAAAGGCAGUGUUCAAAGACAGACAGGAAAGAUCGACCAGGCAAGGUUUUAGCAUGGAAGCACUCUUAACCCUAGAUAGGAGGACCUGCGCCACAUGGAGUCAUAGCUUCAGUGAUUUUGGUUUUCACGGGCUAUGGUUUCCACAAUAUUGGCGCAUUGGCAAUUUUUGUGGUUUCCCCACGCAGUACAGAGCCGGGGCUCGUUGUGAGAAUACGUUGGUUUACGCUCCUGCGCUCUCGUCGUCAUUUAGUUGUUGGAAUGCCUCCAAAACGAGAGAGAUACCUAUCCAAGGAGGAUCUAGAACGUUAUGUGAACUCUGAGGACUUCAAUAAAACAGUUGACAUUACAACAGAGGGCAUAAGUGACGAUGGGAGUGCUGAUGAGAGUGUGUGCUCUCGUCGUCAUUUGUAAGUAUUAGUGUAUCCAAAUGGCUCAGGUCCUCCUUUCCCAUUAUCGUUUUGUAAAGAAGAAGUGCUACGUCAGAUGUCAUUGUGGCAAAUGUUUGUAACACCAACACAACAACAGCAGGGAUGUAAAUCCUCCAGCAGGACCACGGACCAAGAAGAGGUGCAGUUUGUGCCCAUGGAAAACAGCCAGCCAGACAAGGACCGUCUGCUCCAUGUGUCAGAAACCUGUCUGCCCACACCACUCAAAUAUUGUCUGCCUUGAGUGCAACGAGUAAACUAGCAGGUGGCCUGAUUUAUCUACACUCCAGAGUUGAAAGACGGACUGAGUGGUCGUAUAAACCUUUAACUUUAUAGUUUAGUAGGAUUUUUUUGUUCAAUUUAAUAUUUCUAUGCCUCAGGGCCAGAAGGAGUCAGUCUUUAAUUUUUUCUCAAAGUUUUUUUCAAUUAAUUACGAACUGUAUUUAUUUUCAUUUACUCCUAUUCAUUUAUACCCCUAAGGUUUCCAGAUACCUUAUAUUUGUACCUCAACAACGUUUAGUGAGAAUAAAAAAUGUUUGCAUAA